GACGAACGCUGGCGGCGUGCUUAACACAUGCAAGUCGAACGGAAAGGCCUGCUUUCCCUUGUGGAUUGCGGGUACUCGAGUGGCGAACGGGUGAGUAACACGUGAGUGAUCUGCCCCCACCUUGGGUAUAAGCCGGGGAAACUGGUUCUAAUUCCCGAUAGGACUGAGGGGUGGUGCCUGUGGUGGAAAACGAUUUUCUAGUGGUUGGGGAUGAGCUCGCGGCCUAUCAGCUUGUUGGUGGGGUAAUGGCCUACCAAGGCGGCGACGGGUAGCCGGCCUGAGAGGGUGGACGGCCACAUUGGGACUGAGAUACGGCCCAGACUCCUACGGGAGGCAGCAGUGGGGAAUAUUGCACAAUGGGCGGAAGCCUGAUGCAGCGACGCCGCGUGGGGGAUGACGGCCUUCGGGUUGUAAACUCCUUUCGACCGCGAGGAAGCCACCUGGUUGGAAGGGUGGUGACGGUAGUGGUAGAAGAAGCACCGGCUAACUACGUG
rnacentral:rRNA from 1 species